GAUAUCUGUUUGAUUGUCUAACCUAUGGAUAACCGUGGGAAAUCUAGAGCUAAUACAUGCAGUUUAUGGUCAGGCUUGCUUGGCCAAGCAUUUAUUAGUUUUAACCAAUUACUGCGCAAGCAGUAAGGUGAAUCUAGAUAACUUUGCUGAUCGCAUGGCUUUGCCAGCGACGUUUCAAUUGAGUUUCUGCCCUAUCAAUUUGUUGGUAAGGUAUUGGCUUACCAAGUUCGUAACGGGUAACGGGGAAUCAGGGUUCGAUUCCGGAGAGGGAGCUUGAGAAUCGGCUACCACAUCCAAGGAAGGCAGCAGGCGCGCAAAUUACCAAAUCUAGACAGUAGGAGGUGGUGAAGAGAAGUACUAAGUGGUGGUUAUUUACUACCAGCUUGGAAUGGACGUAAUUUAAGCAUUUCGAUGAGUAACUACUGGAGGGCAAGUCCUGGUGCCAGCAGCCGCGGUAAUUCCAGCUCCAGUGGCGUGAUUUAAAGUUGCUGCGUUUAAAACGCUCGUAGUUGGAUCAAGC
rnacentral:rRNA from 1 species